rnacentral:rRNA from 1 species
GAUGAACGCUGGCGGCGUGCUUAACACAUGCAAGUCGAACGAUGAAGCCCAGCUUGCUGGGUGGUUUAGUGGCGAACGGGUGAGUAACACGUGAGUAACCUGCCCUUAACUCUGGGAUAAGCCUGGGCAACUGGGUCUAACACCGGAUAGGUGCGUUCACCGCAUGGUGGGUGUUGGAAAGAUUUAUCGGUUUUGGAUGGACGCGCGGCCUAUCCGCUUGUUGGUGAGGUAUUGGCUCACCAAGGCGAUGACGGGUAGCCGGCCUGAGAGGGUGAACGGCCACACGGGGACUGAGACACGGCCCAGACUCCAACGGGAGGCAGCAGUGGGGAAUAUUGCACAAUGGGCGCAAGCCUGAUGCAGCGACGCCGCGUGAGGGAUGACGGCCUUCGGGUUGUAAACCUCUUUCAGUAGGGAAGAAGCGAAAGUGACGGUACCUGCAGAAGAAGCACCGGCUAACUACGUG